UCAGGCCUAACACAUGCAAGUCGAGCGGAAACGAGUUAUCUGAACCUUCGGGGGACGAUAACGGCGUCGAGCGGCGGACGGGUGAGUAAUGCCUAGGAAAUUGCCCUGAUGUGGGGGAUAACCAUUGGAAACGAUGGCUAAUACCGCAUAAUGCCUACGGGCCAAAGAGGGGGACCUUCGGGCCUCUCGCGUCAGGAUAUGCCUAGGUGGGAUUAGCUAGUUGGUGAGGUAAGGGCUCACCAAGGCGACGAUCCCUAGCUGGUCUGAGAGGAUGAUCAGCCACACUGGAACUGAGACACGGUCCAGACUCCUACGGGAGGCAGCAGUGGGGAAUAUUGCACAAUGGGCGCAAGCCUGAUGCAGCCAUGCCGCGUGUGUGAAGAAGGCCUUCGGGUUGUAAAGCACUUUCAGUCGUGAGGAAGGUGGUGUAGUUAAUAGCUGCAUUAUUUGACGUUAGCGACAGAAGAAGCACCGGCUAACUCCGUGCCAGCAGCCGCGGUAAUACGGAGGGUGCGAGCGUUAAUCGGAAUUACUGGGCGUAAAGCGCAUGCAGGUGGUUUGUUAAGUCAAAUGUGAAAGCCCGGGGCUCAACCUCGGAAUAGCAUUUGAAACUGGCAGACUAGAGUACUGUAGAGGGGGGUAGAAUUUCA
rnacentral:rRNA from 1 species